AAAAACAAAAGGCAGGAAACAAGUAUGAUCCAGGCUUAGCAACUUCACUGAAUGAGAAAUGAAGUUAUUGGAAACAGAUAAGAAAGAAAAUAAUGGAAAUCAAACAACACCAAAGAAAGUGAGAUUGCUAAGCUAAAAAAAUAACAAAAAAGGGUCUAAAAAACCUAAAGAAGUAUAUAUAUAUAUAUAUGCUUUAAAAGUGUAAAUCAAUUAGUAAGAUAGUAAAGAAACUAAUAUUGUAGGAUUUAUGUCAGAGUAAUAAUUGCAAAAAAUAUAUUUGCAGGGAAAUGAAUGAGUUAACAGUGCUAUUUCCAGUAUGACAAGUAGGAAAACAGAACAAAUUAUAUUUCAGCUACCUGGGAAAUAACAUAAGUGUGAUGGAAGCAAUGGAAGAGAGUGAGGAAUUAAACCACUUGUACAGAAGCAGUCAAUAGCAGUACCUGAUGGUGAUGGGAGCACAGAGCAAAAAAAGGAGGAUUUUCUACAGCUCAGAAUCUCAGGCAAGAAUGUAAUUUCACUGUGGAUAAAACACAAACACAACAACCCAAACCUGCAAAUCAAAACUAAAGAGACAUAGCCAAUUCAACCAAACAAUACUAAUCUAGAUGGCUAAAGAUCUAAUAUCACCUAGACUGAGA
rnacentral:lncRNA from 1 species